AUAAAGCUACCGUGUCUUUCCCCUACAAUAUAAUCAAUGAAUGGAAUAUAUAUAAAAAAAAGUUAAGUAUACGAAAGUUUAAGGAAAUAUACGAUAACAUUUAAGAAUUAUUUAAUAUAAGACACAUUAGUAGCCUGACGCAACCAUGUAUAUAUAUAGCUAACAACUCCCUCAUAACCUAUUAUUAUUAUUAUUAUUAUUAUUAUUAUUAUUAUUAUACUAACGCACAGUCAUCACCUAAUCCAAUGACAGAAGUUAUAUGAAUAUGUAUGAAAAUUAAUAUUAUGUACGUACUUCUAUCUUCUUUAUAUUAUCUAUUUGCUAUGUGUAAAUGGGAAGGAAGUUAAAUGAAUGAUAAGUAUGGAAUAAACACACACGCCCGAGGGCCAACGUGACGGAGAUGGGAAGUUAAACAGUAGACGAGAAUGGAAGAUAAAACGAAGCGUGACACAAUCUCUAGGGACAACAAACCAGUGCAUGGGGUGGGAAGGUCAUGGAGUGUGGCUGGCUAAUGUGGGGCAAAGAGUUAUGGGAUGGUUAGAGGGGCAAGGAAGCGGGUAAGGCAGUAUUAUAGGCCUUGUGUAUAGGCUAAGAGCAGGUGGAGAAAUAAAUGAUAUGCUAGAGAUGGAGUUAACAAGUAAAUAGUGAAGGCAGUUAAAUGAGAGGUUAAAAAUGAUGAAAGGAUGGGAUGGAAGAUGAAUGGAAGGAGGAUGCCAGAACAGGAAGGAAAAGUCAAGUUGAGGUAUGAGACUGAGGGAUGUGGGCUCGUAGGAUGAAAGGAUAGACAGUGUAGUGGAUGAGAUGUAUGUAGGAUGGAAAUAGGAUGCCAGAAUAGGAAGGAAAAGUCAAGUUGAGGUAUGAGACUGAGGGAUGUGGGCUCGCAGGAUGAAAGGAUAGACAGUGUAGUGGAUGAGAUGUUUGUAGGAUGGAAAUAGGAUGCCAGAAUAGGAAAGGAAAGGCCAAGUUGAAGUAUGAGACUGAGGGAUGUGGGCUCGUAGGAUGAAAGGAUAGACAGUGUAGUGGAUGAGAUGUAUGUAGGAUGGAAAUAGGAUGCCAGAAUAGGAAGGAAAAGUCAAGUUGAGGUAUGAGACUGAGGGAUGUGGGCUCGUAGGAUGAAAGGAUGGACAGUGUAGUUGAUAAGAUGUAUGUAGGAUGGAAAUAGACUGUCAGAAUAGGAGAGGAAAGGCCAAGUUUAGGUAUAAUGUGAGAUGUGGGCUGGUGGAUGAGUGGGCAGGUCAGGGAACUAAGUGGAACAAGCCGAGUGUAAAGAGAGGAGGGGGGAAAUGUGGGCUAGAGGGCUUCACAUCCUCAGACCUAAUAUUGGGGCGGAGUGAAAGGGAAUUGAAGCGUGAGGUGAACGAUCGGGAAGAGGAGAGGGGCAAGGAAGAGGCUGUGGUGGAGGAGUAGUUUAGGUUAAAGUUGUACAAGGGAGAGGAGUUCGAGGCCGUUGGGGAAGAUGUUAGGUUAAGUUAGGUUAGGUUAGAGGGCCAAGAAGUUAGGUAAGGUUAGGUUAGAGGGCCAAGAAGUUAGGUUAGGUUAGGUUAGAUUAGAGGGACAAGAAGUUAGGUUAGGUUAGGUUAGAGGCCAAGAAGUUAGGUUAGGUUAGGUUAGGUUAGAGGGCCAAGAAGUUAGGUUAGGUUAGGUUAGGUUAGAGGGACAAGAAGUUAGGUUAGGUUAGGUUAGAGGCCAAGAAGUUAGGUUAGGUUAGGUUAGAGGGCCAAGAAGUUAGGUUAGGUUAGAGGGCCAAGAAGUUAGGUUAGGUUAGGUUAGAGGGCCAAGAAGUCAGGUUAGGUUAGGUUAGAAGUACAAGGGAGAGGAGUUUGAGGCUGUGGAGGAAGAGUAGGUUAGGUUAGAGGGCCAAGAAGUCAGGUUAGGUUAGGUUAAAAGUACAAGGGAGAGGAGUUCGAGGCAUUGGAGGAAGAGUAGGUUAGGUUAGGUUAAGUUAGAGGGCCAAGAAAAAUUAAGUUUGGUUAGGUUAGGUAGGUUAGGGGGACAAGGAGGAAGAGGUAUGUAGAUAUGGCAGGUAGUGAUCAAGGUGUGACUGGGGUGUGGAAGAGACGGUAGAGCACAUGAGAGAGAGAGAGAGAGAGAGAGAGAGAGAGAGAGAGAGAGAGAGAGAGAGAGAUAAUGAAAGAAAAAAAACGCAAAAAUAAAUAGAUUGUUAAGAAGAAACGUAAGAAAAGGUGAUAAGAUUCCUGUUUCACCUGAUAAUUUUACACGAAUGUACUAGAAAGAACAAUAAAAUGCGUAUACCCGCUAUAAGAUUAAUUCAAGAGAGCACCAGAGUACAAGGGUAGACUCUUGUAAAUGUAUUCUCCCUCACUCACACUUCGUUUUUAUCUUGUUCCUGUACUAUGCCAAGAUAAAGCAAGCUGUUAGGUAUAUAUUAAAGAAUCAUCUCUCACACUAAGGUUUUGCUGUUAUUAUUAUUCCUGUGUGUAUCAGAAUAAUGUGUGUAGAAGGUUAUCUUUACUGUUACUGCUGUUGUUCUUCCUGUGCGUCUUUGGGGUCGUAUAAUAAGACAUUUCAUCGCCCAAGAACAUAUAUUUGACAAGGCUUUCGUAGGGGAUUUGGGCAUUUCCAGAAGUUUAAUGACCUUGGUGGAAGUUUGACCUUUCUUCUGUGCAAUGAACCUAAAGAAACACUCAUUAGGACCCGACUGACCCCCUCUUUGACCUUUGACGUGAGAAGCGAAAGUAUCUUGUAAUAAUAACGUUAACGAAAAGUUAUGAUGUGGAAAAUUAUGUUAGCGAAUUCUUUGGAGGGAACUGCAAUAAAUCUUUACUAUUAUUACUAUUACUGCUGAUGAUGUUAUGAAUACUAAGAAAAAUAUAUAAAAAAAAUCAUCAGAAUAACACGUUUUUAUGAGGUUAUGGUGUGAUGAGUCAAUCUUAUAUGUAAAUGCUGUGGAAUAUAAAUUACAACGCACCUAAACUAGACAACGAAUCUUUCCUAUUGUUACUGCUUUUGUUGUCGCUGUUGCUAUGUUAUGAUAAGCUCGUCCCCACAUCCGCCCUUGCAAAGUUUUAACAGGAAUGCUGAAUGUCAUAGAUAUUCAAGUCCUACUAUAUGUUUUUGGUAUUAUUAUUAACACGCCCAUAUCUCGUUCCCUACUUUACCAACUGCUCUUCUGUUGUCAUAAGUGUCUUUAACGGACCAAAUUCGUGGCUUUACAGUGUACCAGUGACGGGCCAAAUUUUUGCCAUGAUAUAAACCCCCCAAAAUAGAUGAUGCAUAAACUGAUCACAAAUGCGUUGAAUCAUUUAAACGUCCUGGAAAUCCGUAGAAAGGAGUCGAGACCAAAACACUGGUGAAAAUAGGCAUGAAAUGUGUGGGGGUAUCAUUAACAUGCCCUUAUCUCGUUUCCACCUUAUCUCACUGCUCUUCUCUUAUCGAACAUGUCUUCUAACCUAUAAACCUCCUGGAAAACCAUAGAAUAGAGUGGAGACCAAACCACGUGUCUAAAUACCCAUGAAAUAUGUGUGGAUGAUCGUUUCCCGUUUAUGCAACCUCCCAUAUCUCUUUUCUUACUCAACCAAAUGCUUUCCUAAUGCUAUACAUGUCUUCUACUAACCUUUAAACCUUCAGGAAACCCGUAGAAAAAAAUGGAGACCAAAACAAGUGUGAAAAUACCAAAGAAAUGUGUAUGGGUAGGUAGAAUUUAUGUAACCUUCCAUAUCUCUUUUCCUACUUAACCAAAUGCUCUCCUGUUGUCAUACAUGUCUUCUAUUAACCUUCAAAUCUCCCUCAAAACCGUAGAAAAGAGUAGAGGCCAAAACGGGGGUGAAAAUAGCCAUAGGUGGGUGGGUAAUUUCGAUUGAUUCCGUUUCUACACCUAUAUCUGAUUUCCUACAUAACUUACUGCUCUUCUGUUGCCAUGCAUGUCUUCUACUAACUUCAAAACCUCCAAGAAAAACCGUAGGAAAGAGUAGAGACCAAAACAGGUGAAAAUAGGUAUGAAUUAAAUGAGGGUUUAUAAAUUCACACCUCCCUAACUCAAGUCACCUCCACCUCUACCUCUACCUCUAAUCU